UCUCCGUAGGUGAACCUGCGGAGGGAUCAUUACUGAGUGAGGGCCUCCCCGGCCCGACCUCCAACCCUUUGUGAACACAACUUGUUGCUUCGGGGGCGACCCUGCCGUUUCGACGGCGAGCGCCCCCGGAGGCCUUCAAACACUGCAUCUUUGCGUCGGAGUUUAAGUAAAUUUAGAAAAAACUUUCAACAACGGAUCUCUUGGUUCUGGAAUCGAUGAAGAACGCGGC
rnacentral:misc_RNA from 1 species